UACGUAGGGAGCAAGCGUUGUCCGGAAUCAUUGGGCGUAAAGAGCGUGUAGGCGGCCCGGUAAGUCGGUUGUGAAAGUCAAGGGCUCAACCCUUGAAAGCCGACCGAUACUGCCGGGCUAGAAUCCGGAAGAGGCGAGUGGAAUUCCUGGUGUAGCGGUGAAAUGCGCAGAUAUCAGGAGGAACACCAAUGGCGAAGGCAGCUCGCUGGGACGGUAUUGACGCUGAGACGCGAAAGCGUGGGGAGCAAACAGG
rnacentral:rRNA from 1 species